AACGAACGCUGGCGGCAUGCCUAACACAUGCAAGUCGAACGAAGCCUUCGGGCUUAGUGGCGCACGGGUGCGUAACACGUGGGAAUCUGCCCUUCGGUUCGGAAUAACAGUUAGAAAUGACUGCUAAUACCGGAUGAUGACGAAAGUCCAAAGAUUUAUCGCCGAAGGAUGAGCCCGCGUAGGAUUAGGUAGUUGGUAGGGUAAUGGCCUACCAAGCCGACGAUCCUUAGCUGGUCUGAGAGGAUGAUCAGCCACACUGGGACCUGAGACACGGCCCAGACUCCUACGGGAGGGCAGCAGUGGGGAAGUAUUGGACAAUGGGCGAAAGCCUGAUCCAGCAAUGCCGCGUGAGUGAUGAAGGCCUUAGGGUUGUAAAGCUCUUUUACCUAGGGAUGAUAAUGACAGUACCUGGAGAAUAAGACUCCGGCUAACUCCGUGCCAGCAGCCGCGGU
rnacentral:rRNA from 1 species